UACGUAGGUGUCAAGCGUUGUCCGGAUUUAUUGGGCGUAAAGCGCACGUAGGCGGCUUUGUAAGUUAGAGGUGAAAGCCCGGAGCUCAACUCCGGAAUUGCCUUUAAGACUGCAUCGCUAGAAUUGUGGAGAGGUAAGUGGAAUUCCGAGUGUAGAGGUGAAAUUCGUAGAUAUUCGGAAGAACACCAGUGGCGAAGGCGACUUACUGGACACAUAUUGACGCUGAGGUGCGAAAGCGUGGGGAGCAAACAGG
rnacentral:rRNA from 1 species